rnacentral:hammerhead_ribozyme from 1 species
AUUCAGCUGACGAGUCUCAAAUAGGACGAAACGCGUGUCCUGGAU